GUCUUGACCGUUUUGUACAAACGACAUGUACUUCUCGUAUCUCCAUGUCCUAGAUCCUUGUAACGGCCCCCCUGUCCCCCUUACCUUUCCAUACAGUCUAGCCUUUCCUUGCCGGCCUCUUAAUCAAUGUGUCAUUAUCUGGCUUUUUGUUCCUUCAAAGUUUAGUUUUAGUCAUAUUUAAAUCAAUCCUGGAAUAGGUUGCUUCUGAGAAAAAGGGUAUAUUUUAACAUGUCCAUUCUUUCCAUGCAAAUGAACAAUGCUUUUGUCCUUGGAUUUCAACUUUGUGCUUUAACUAUGAAACUGUCUGUAAAAAAAAUACUGAAGACUAGAUUCUUCUACUUUUCUAAGGCUUAUUUAUUCUGGAGUUUCUGAUCUCCUCAAGUGGGGUUUUGUUAGAAUUUGAAAGUUGGUUAUACUAAAGUACACUUAUUGUCAGCAGAGAAUUUCUUCUUGUUCAUACAAAUUUCAUCCUUUGAUGAGUUUUGGAGACUUAAAUCCUUUGUUAAGGGAAUGGGUUUCAUUAAAUUUGAGGGAAAAAGUUUCUAGCAGUGUUAGUUUUUGAGUGUCUACAUUUUAUGUUUUUUAUCCUUAUUGGAACUCGCUCAGAUUGUCUUCUUCUGCUGUGGAAGUGACAAAUUUUUAUCAUGAUUCCGUUAUGAACUAGGGGGUGUUAGGUGUAGGUUUGUAAAGUUGCCAGAUGUUUUACCUUUCGGUGUCUCUGUAUUUGGUCUUUAGGGUUUCAAUGGCACUCUUUUAGUGGCAGUAGUUUGGCAAAUCAAGCCUUAGAUCUGAGACAUAAUUGUCAACAAAGAGCAGGAAACUUGUGUUGGUAGUUGGGUUUUGCUGUAAGUUCACGAGAUCAGAGGUUUGUCACAAGAUAUAGCUAUUAAUGAACGUUUCCUCAGUCUGACUAAGUGUGUCUUUCCAUUCAUUCUUGCCGGCAUCUCGGUGUUUCUAAGAUUUCUAGAAUUGUUUCUUAAAUUCUAGAAACUCUUCGGUUAAAAAGGGUGAGUCGUUCGAAAAUUUCUGGAUUUUGGUUUCCAAAAUGGGGCAUUCUGCAGCAGUAUGGGAUUACAGGGCGGCGACAGAGAUUUCAAAGGACUGGAAUGGGAUUGAUAAGGUUGUGCUUCGGAAUCCACGAGGGGCUUCAGCAAGUGUUAGCUUACAUGGAGGACAGGUCACUUCAUGGAGGAAUGAGCAAGGGGAGGAACUUCUGUUUACAAGUAGUAAGGCAAUUUUUAAGCCUCCAAAAGCAGUUCGAGGAGGGAUCCCUAUUUGUUUCCCACAGUUUGGUAACUGCGGGUCACUUGAGCAACAUGGAUUUGCUAGGAACAAGAUUUGGACAAUUGAUGAAAACCCUCCACCUCUUAGUCCAAAUGAUUCCCAUGGCAAAUCCUUCAUUGACCUAUUGCUUAAACCAUCUGAAGAAGAUCUUAAGUGCUGGCCCUACAGUUUUGAGUUUCGCUUGAGAGUGUCGCUUGCAGCAGAUGGAAGUCUGACGCUAAUAUCACGAGUUAGGAAUGUCAAUGGGAAGCCAUUUAGUUUCUCUUUUGCGUAUCAUACAUAUUUGUUGGUAUCUGACAUAAGUGAAGUGAGGAUUGAAGGGCUGGAGACGCUUGACUACCUAGACAACAUUUGCCAAAAGGAACGUUUUACAGAGCAAGGAGAUGCUAUAACUUUUGAAUCCGAGGUGGAUCGAGUUUAUCUCAGUACGCCAAAUGUAGUUGCUGUACUUGACCAUGAAAGGAAACGGACAUAUGUUAUCAGGAAGGAGGGACUACCUGAUGUUGUGGUAUGGAAUCCAUGGGAGAAGAAAUCGAAAUCCAUGGUAGAUUUUGGAGAUGAUGAGUACAAGCAGAUGCUUUGCGUUGAUGGAGCAGCAAUCGAGAAGCCCGUCACCUUGAAACCAGGUGAGGAAUGGACAGGGAGGCAGGAACUCUCAGUUGUACCAUCAACAUUCUGUAGUGAGCAUUUUGAUCUCCAGAGCAAAGGUUUUUGAUGAAAUGGUACGAAUCAAAUUUUCAGAAGAUGUACCAGUACGAUGUAUGAUGUUUCAGUAGCUCCACUCGUAGGAAUAGUUCAAUGUUAGUUAAUUUGUAACAGGAAUAAACCAUAAGCCUACGUCUUUUCAAGAAUGGCUGCUAAAUCAAAACUUUGUUAUAUGGAGAAUAAGAAAAUUAUCCUAACAUU